AUUGGAGGAAAGUAGGGGAUCGCAAGACCUCGCGCGAAUGGAGCGGCCGAUGUUAGAUUAGGUAGCUGGUGAGGUAAAGGCUCACCAAGCCGACGAUCUGUAGCUGGUCUGAGAGGACGACCAGCCACACUGGGACUGAGACACGGCCCAGACUCCUACGGGAGGCAGCAGUGGGGAAUUUUGGACAAUGGGCGCAAGCCUGAUCCAGCCAUUCCGCGUGCAGGAUGAAGGCCCUCGGGUUGUAAACUGCUUUUGUACAGAACGAAAAGGUUUCUACUAAUACUAGGAGCUCAUGACGGUACUGUAAGAAUGAGCACCGGCUAACUACGUGCCAGCAGCCGCGGUAAUACGUAGGGUGCAAGCGUUAAUCGGAAUUACUGGGCGUAAAGCGCGCGCAGGCGGUUUUGUAAGUCGGAUGUGAAAUCCCCGGGCUCAACCUGGGAACU
rnacentral:rRNA from 1 species